rnacentral:rRNA from 1 species
GACGAACGCUGGCGGCGUGCUUAACACAUGCAAGUCGAACGGUGAACCCGCUUCGGUGGGGGAUCAGUGGCGAACGGGUGAGUAACACGUGGGCAACCUGCCCCCGGCUCUGGGAUAACUCCAAGAAAUUGGGGCUAAUACCGGAUAUGACCGCUGACCGCAUGGUCUGGUGGUGGAAAGAUUUAUCGGCUGGGGAUGGGCCCGCGGCCUAUCAGCUUGUGGGGGGGGUAGUGGCCUGCCAAGGCGACGACGGGUAGCCGGCCUGAGAGGGUGACCGGCCACACUGGGACUGAGACACGGCCCAGACUCCUACGGGAGCCAGGUGUGGGGAAUAUUGAGCAAUGGGAGGAAGCCUGACGCAGCGACGCCGCGUGCGUGAUGACGGCCUUCGGGUGGUAAACCUCUGUCUGCAGGGACCAAGAGCAAGUGACGGUACCUGCAGAAGAAGCACCGGCCAACUACGUGCCAGCAGCCGCAGUAAAAC